AACCAUUUUGCAUUUGCAGCAAAGAAAGUAAACAAUGUUCUUCUUGUGUCACAGAUUAUCUUGACCUGUCUCCACCACAGCAAAAUGAUUAUCUGAAGAGUGUGAUGGGGGGAUCUGCAAGAGGUUCUCUGCUGGAGUCAGAGAGUGCAUUCAUUGACCCCCUAGGUGAUGCCUUUCCAGUCCCC